GGGGAAUUUUGGACAAUGGGCGCAAGCCUGAUCCAGCCAUGCCGCGUGAGUGAAGAAGGCCUUCGGGUUGUAAAGCUCUUUCGGCCGGGAAGAAAUCGUGCAGGCUAAUACCCUGUAUGGAUGACGGUACCGGAAUAAGAAGCACCGGCUAACUACGUGCCAGCAGCCGCGGUAAUACGUAGGGUGCGAGCGUUAAUCGGAAUUACUGGGCGUAAAGCGUGCGCAGGCGGUUUUGUAAGACAGGCGUGAAAUCCCCGGGCUCAACCUGGGAACUGGGGUUUUGACUGCAAGACUAAAGGACGGGCGGGGGGGGUUGAAAUCCACGUGUAGCAGGGGAAUGCGUAGGGGAGUGGGGGAAAACCAAUGGGGAAGGCAGGCCCCUGGGUCGAUUCUGACCCUCAUUCAAGAAAGCGUGGGGAGCAAACA
rnacentral:rRNA from 1 species